rnacentral:rRNA from 1 species
UGCGCUACCUGGUUGAUCCUGCCAGUAGUCAUACGCUUGUCUCGCAGAUUAAGCCAUGCAUGUCUAAGUGUAAAUGUUUUUACAGUAAAACUGCGGAUGGCUCAUUACAACAGUUAUAGUUUGCUUGGACUAUUAAAUCUACGGAUAUCCGUGGAAAUACUACAGUUAAUACGUAACACUUCUUUGGAGGUGCUGCAUAUUUCUGUAAACUCGCAGUGCAGAUUUAUCUGUGCUAUUACUGAAUGCUGGUAUGCUUUUAUCGUAUUUUAUAUACGAAAGUCCAUCAAAGUUUCUGACCCAUCAGGUUCCGACGGUAAGGUAUUGGCUUACCGUGCCGAUAACGGGUAACGGGGGAUUAGGGUUCGAUCCCGGAGAGGGAGCUUGAGAUAUAGCUACCACAUCUAAGGAAGGCAGCAGGCGCGCAAAUUACCGAUCCUUGACACAAGGAGGUAGUAAACAGAAAUAAUGACGCAUGAUUUUAAUCGUGCGAUCGGAAUAAAUGGUUUUUAAACAAAACCAUGAAAUCAAUUGGAGGAAAAGUCUGGUGCCAGCACCCGCGGUAAUACCAGCUCCAAUAGCGUAUAUUAUUGAUGUUGCAGUUGAAACGUUCGUAGUCGAACUUUUUCUGUUAAAGUGAUUUAGUGUUUUUACGCUAUUUUACUCUUACCAGAAAUGAUGCAAUGUUAUUCACACUUGUGUGGUAACUUUUGCAUUUUACUUUGAGUGAAUCGGCGUGUUCCACGCAGGCUAUUGCCUAGAACGUUUUACCAUAGCAUAAUUAGAGUAUAAAAACAAUUCCUUGCUUGUUUGGAAUUGUAUUUCAUACUCAUAAGAACGGUUGAGGGCAUUCGUAUUCAACUGCUAGAGGUGAAAUUCUUUGAUUAGUUGAAGACGAACAAUGGCGAAAGCAUCUGCCAAGGACGUUUCUUUUGAUCAAGAACGAAAGUUAGGUGAUCGAAGAUGAUUAGAUACCGUUGUAGUCCUAACUAUAAACUUUACUAUCCAAGAAUUGGAUUGGUGACUUUACGUCUUUCCAGUGCUUUUUGAGAAAUCAUAAGGCUUUGAGUUCUGGGGGGAGUAUAGUUGCAAAGCUGAAACUUAAAGGUAUUGACGGAAGGGCACCACCAGGAGUGGAACUUGCGGCUUAAUUUGACUCAACACGGAAAAACUUACGAGGAUAAGACAAACGUAGGAUUGACAGAUUGAUCGCUCUUUCUUGAUUGUUUGGGUGGUGGUGCAUGGCCGUUCUUAGUUCGUGGAUUAAUUUGUCUGGUUAAUUCCGUUAACGAACGAGACCUUAACUUGCUAAUUGGAGUUUAUUAUUGAAUAAUAAGCUCUGUUAGAAGGACCAUGUGUCUCUAACACAAGGAAGCGUGAGGCAAUAACAGGUCUGUGAUGCCCUUAGAUAUCCUCGGCAGCACGCGUGUUACAAUGAUAUAUAUAAUGUGUUGUGUUUCUCGAAAGAGUGAUACAACCAUGAAUAUAUAUCAAACUAGGGAUUGUUUGUUGGAAUGUCAAACAUCAACGAGGAAUUCCUAGUAAGCGUGAAUCAUUAAUUCACGUUGAUUACGUCCCUGCCCUUUGUACACACCGCCUGUCGCAUCUAUUGAUUAGGUUAUAUCAUGAGUUAGGUGGAGAUGGUGUAAAGGGAUUUUUAAUUUCUUUAUAUCGUUGAAACCUUGCAAAUGGUAUUACCCAGAAACAGAUAAAGUCAUAACACGGCAGCUGUAGGUGAACCUGCAGAAGGAUCA